UUUCUCGCUGUCCACUGCCUCGCGUGAGGGGAUGGUCCGAUCCGUAUAAGAAAAGCUUGCGGUGUGUGACGCCGUCCGUGCACGAUAUAUCAAGCAGGAAAAUGCCUACCGCCUGCGGGCUAUCGGCUCGCCGAGGUGUCAAGCGCAGUGGUCAAGCCCUUCCGUUCACCGCCUGUCGUCUUGAACAGGAGCAAAAAAAAGGGUGGGCAAGCAGUACCCGUGGCUGAAGUACCCCGCGCUGCGGCGCGUCCACCGUGUGGUAAGC
rnacentral:lncRNA from 1 species